UACAGAGGUCCCGAGCGUUGUUCGGAUUCACUGGGCGUAAAGGGUGCGUAGGCGGCGCGGUAAGUCGGGUGUGAAAUCUCGGAGCUUAACUCCGAAACUGCAUUCGAUACUGCCGUGCUUGAGGACUGGAGAGGAGACUGGAAUUUACGGUGUAGCGGUGAAAUGCGUAGAUAUCGUAAGGAAGACCAGUGGCGAAGGCGGGUCUCUGGGCAUUAACUGACGCUGAGGAGCGAAAGCAUGGGGAGCGAACAGG
rnacentral:rRNA from 1 species